CUUAAUGAGACUGCCGGUGACAAACCGGAGGAAGUGGGGAUGACGGUCAAAUCAUCAUGCCCUUAUGUCUUGGGCUUCACGCAUGCUACAAUGGCCGGUACAAAGGCUGCGAUACCGCGAGGUGGAGCGAAUCCCAGAAAGCCGGUCUCAGUUCGGAUUGGGGUCUGCAACUCGACCCCAUGAAGUCGGAGUCGCUAGUAAUCGCAGAUCAGCAACGCUGCGGUGAAUACGUUCCCGGGCCUU
rnacentral:rRNA from 1 species